rnacentral:rRNA from 1 species
GAUGAACGCUGGCGGCGUGCCUAAUACAUGCAAGUCGAGCGAACAGACGAGGAGCUUGCUCCUCUGACGUUAGCGGCGGACGGGUGAGUAACACGUGGAUAACCUACCUAUAAGACUGGGAUAACUUCGGGAAACCGGAGCUAAUACCGGAUAAUAUAUUGAACCGCAUGGUUCAAUAGUGAAAGACGGUUUUGCUGUCACUUAUAGAUGGAUCCGCGCCGCAUUAGCUAGUUGGUAAGGUAACGGCUUACCAAGGCAACGAUGCGUAGCCGACCUGAGAGGGGGGACGGGCCACCCGGAAACUGAGACACGGCCCAGACCCCAAGGGAGGCAGCAGUAGGGAAUCUUCCGCAAUGGGCGAAAGCCUGACGGAGCAACGCCGCGUGAGUGAUGAAGGUCUUCGGAUCGUAAAACUCUGUUAUUAGGGAAGAACAAAUGUGUAAGUAACUAUGCACGUCUUGACGGUACCUAAUCAGAAAGCCACGGCUAACUACGUG